rnacentral:rRNA from 1 species
AGCAGCCGCGGUAAUUCCAGCUCCAAUAGCGUAUAUUAAAGUUGUUGCAGUUAAAAAGCUCGUAGUUGAAUUUUGGGUUUGGCCAAUUGGUCCGUUCUUGUAACGAGUACUGGUUGGUUGGGCCUCACCGCCUGGUGAUACGUAAUGUCCUUUAUUGGGUGUUGCGAGUAGCCAGGACCUUUACCUUGAAAAAUUAGAGUGUUUAAAGCAGGCUUAUGCCGGAAUACAUUAGCAUGGAAUAAUAGAAUAGGACGAUGAUUCUAUUUUGUUGGUUUCUAGGAGCGUCGUAAUGAUUAAUAGGGAUAGUUGGGGGCAUUAGUAUUCAAUUGUCAGAGGUGAAAUUCUUGGAUUUAUUGAAGACUAACUACUGCGAAAGCAUUUGCCAAGGAUGUUUUCAUUAAUCAAGAACGAAAGUUAGGGGAUCGAAGACGAUCAGAUACCGUCGUAGUCUUAACCAUAAACUAUGCCGACUAGGGAUCGGAUGAUGUUAAUUUUUUAAUGUACUCA